AAAUAUCACUCCUAGCCUUUGUGUCUAAGUUCGCGAUAACGAAUAUGAUGCUUUGGCCGUGGCCUCUGAGCCACCAGGGUGCAAGAUAGAAAUGUCUGCAUCUCCCGUAUUUGGAAAGGUGUCAUU
rnacentral:ncRNA from 1 species